GUGGUCAUUAAUUUGGUCAUAUAUUUGGUCAUUAAUUUGGUCAUAUAUUUGGAAUUAAUGACCAAAUAUAUGACCAAACUAAUGACCACAU
rnacentral:pre_miRNA from 1 species